AACGCACCUUGCGCCCUUUGGUAUUCCGAAGGGCAUGCCUGUUUGAGUGUCAUAUAAACCUUCACCCCUGCUUUUGUCUAGUACAAGGACAGGUUGGUGCUUUGGGCGUCUGCCGUUUACUCUGGCUCGCCUUAAAUGUCUAAGUGGAAUGCGUAAUAAGUUCUCGCAGAGCCUCCACUCUAAUCACACCUUUAUAUUCUGACCUCAAAUCAGGUAGGACUACCCGCUGAACUUAA
rnacentral:misc_RNA from 1 species